UUUUCUACAAAUCGGAAUGACUUGAAGUUUAGCGUGUGUUCAUCAAAAAUAGGCGAAUCUACAAAAAAUAUCAAAAAAAUAUUUUACAUGAAAAAAAUUGACCAAAAUACCCCCGAAAAGUUUCAAGGGUAUUUUGGUCGAUGUUCUUCGCGAAUUAUGUUUUUUAUAUUUUUAUUAGGUACGCCUCACUAAGAUGUACACACGCUCCAAAUUUCAGGUCAUUCCGAUUUGUAGAAAA
rnacentral:pre_miRNA from 1 species